rnacentral:tRNA from 1 species
GCCUUUGUAGCUCAGCUGGAUAGAGCACUCGCCUCCUAAGCGAGGGGUCGUGCGUUCGAAUCGCGCCAAGGGCACCA